UCCCUCUCGAUCCGCACUUCACGAGAGGAAACACAGUAACGUUAGUAUGAAGAGGCAUAUAUUGUGUGUAUGUAUAAUUGCAACGUCACAAAAUAUUUUGUGUGUUUACGAAGAUACUUUCAUUCAAAAAAUAGAAUAAAGAGUGUAUAGUUUUAGAAAUAACAGAUUUUAUAUUAUCAUUAAUUAAAAUUGUAUUGUAUAUGUGUCGUAAUUCUUUAUUUUCGGUGAAUAAUAUUAUUUUUCUAUAAAUAAUAAACAAACAUUUAUGUAGACAUAUUAAAAGAAAAUAUAAUAAAAAUCAAAAUAUUAUCCAUAAAUAAUAUAAAUUAUGAAAUACAUUUCUCGAUAAAAAAAGCAAAUUCAAUUAGAAACCUGAAAAAAAUUAUAUCUACCAAGCUCUUCUGCUUACAUGUAUUUUGUCUACCACGUUCCUCAAUCGAGGUAUUUUUUUGGAUGUUAUUGUUACUAAAAUUACAUUUUAAAUAUAAAAAAAAAAAGAAUAUCUCCGGAGUAGUUUACACUAAUGAUUUAAUUAACAAAUCUUGUCCUUAAAGUUUAAAUAUUAAAGCAUGAGAUUAGGAAAUAAGAUAUUAUUUCAGUAGAGAAAAUACCAUCCUACUAUAGAUAUUUUAAAAAUAUAAUUGAUUAUCCAAUUUUGAUGUAGAGUAGAGAAAAUACCAUUCUAAGUGCACAUCUUUUGCAGGAUCGGAAUGGUGAACUCUUAGAGGUCUGAAAUAUGACCACUUCUCUCAAAUCAUCUCUGAAAAAAUAUAAAACAAAAUCACAAUCAGCAAACCAAAAAACAAAUAUGUGUCACUACAAAAAAAGGAUCAUAUUACAUCACUUAAAUAGAAUCACAAAAAUAAAUGAUACUAUUUAGAAUUACUUAUUAGGAAAUGAUACAAAAUAUAUGUUUUAACAUCAGUCAUAACAAACGAUGCGGUUAUUAACUUGUUUGGCAUCGAUUGAAUGAAAUUGAUGCAAAUCUUUAUUAGUUUACAUCACUUUUUGAAAGAUGAUAGAAAAUAUGAGUUUACAUCAAUUAAAUGAUCGAUACAUUUAUUAAUUUGUAUUAACAUCACUUAUUAAAAUGAUUCAAAAGUAACAACAUUUUAAUAAAUGUUGCAAAUUUGACAUCAAUGAUAAAAAUGAUACUAACAUAAUUUUCAUUAGUUACUAAUAUGUACGUAGAUCAUUUCUUCUUAUAAACGAUUUUUUAUGCUUUGAUAAAUAAUUUUGAAUUGAUUUAAUAAGUAAGCUACAUUAAUUGAUAUUUUGAAUAUUAAAAAUAUAACAUAUAUAUAUUGACUAAAUAAAGAAUCUGAAAAUCUAUAUUUAAAAAAAAAACAUUUUUAUACUCACUAGAAUACAUAUUUAAUUAAAAGAAAGAAAUUAUUCUAUUUUUUUACAACUAAUAUUUUAAUUUUUCGACCUAAUUAAUAAAUGUUAAUAGUUAAUCUUAUAUAUGUACUGCGUUAAUUUGUUUUGUAAAGAAAAUUGUAAACCAUUAAAAAUCUAUAUGUUUGUUACCAAGAAUAUAGCAAUAUCUCCUAUUUUAUCUCACCACUAGUUCACGUUUCCUUCUAAUAAGAAAUCAACUGAAUAAAAGCAACGAUCAUUUACAUCUUUUUUGCAAAGUCUUUUCUUCCACACACAAUUCCUUAACACAGUUUAAGAGAGGUUGAAUCUGCAGAUCUGAAAUAAUAUUCUUGGAACCUUCGUGAAGUCUACUAUUGUUUACCUCAGGAACCAUUGGUUAAGAAGAAACUAUUAGCUUAAAACCCUACAACCAAGAGCAGAAGAUACAGAGAAUUGGAAGAAGAAGAAGCUUGAUCGAAGAACUCUUACGGCGAACUAUGUUUAUCUGUUUUUUUUUUUAAUUGUAUUCUUUUGUUUUCUUGUUUUUGUAAUUUUCUUAUUUUUAAUUGUAACAUCAAUGAAAAGAACAAUGAGAAAUAAUUAACAAUUAAUAAAAGUGAUAUAAUUGAUUAUUAAAAUCAAUUAAUUGAUUGAUGCUAAUAUUAACAUCAUUUUAAUAAAUGAUAUAAAUAUUAAUAUCAGUUAUUGUAAUUGAUAUAUAUUUUACAUCAUUUAUAAUAGUUGAUGUAAAUAUUUAGAAUUUUUACAUCAGUUAUUAACAAAAUGAUGUGAAUUAUUUGCAUCACCACUUUCAGAGUCAUUUAUAUAAAUGAUGCAAAAUUAUUUUACAUCAUUUAUAACUAAUGCAAAAAUACAUAAUAAAUGAUGCUAAACAACAGUUUUUUUGUAGUGUGUAUAUAUAAGCUUAUAAUUCUAAACAAUAAUAUAAAUCUAGAAAUCAAAAAAAAAAAAUAUUCGCAGCACAAAAAGAUGCUAUUGAAAUGAUUUAGCUGAGAGAUGUUAUCAAAUUGAGUAAAAUUUUUUUACCAGAUUGAGGAGGAAAGAUGUUAUCGAAAUGAUAUAUCAAAGAGGUGUACAAUCAAAUCAUAUAUAGCUUCAGUGGAGAAAUCGUCAUAAUAGGGUAUCUGCAUAUAAACCAAAAGAAAAAUCAGCUCUCAUGAAAUAUAAAAGCUUAAUGUUCUAAAAUAAGAAGAAAAAAAAGUUCAGAACAUUAUUAACAUUAAAAGUUCAGAAUACAAAGCACAAUUAUUUCGUUUCUUCUACUGUGAAUGUCUUAUUUAUAGUAAAUUGGUAGACGUUUCUCAUUGAUUUAGCUUGCAUGAUAAGCUAAGAAAUAGAAUAUUCUUUAAUAAAUUCUCAAUAAAUCUUAUACUUAUAAGGUAAUAUUAUUUUUGGAAUAUCUUGUUAAUAAAGCUAAAGGAGAACAUCUCGUGAAUAGAUUGCACCAGAAUUUUGGUUGACAAGUCUCACCAUAAAUAUUAAGUUUUAAAUGCAUGAUUUUAGGAGAGAAAAUAUCAUGUCAAUUAAUUUCGUUUCUCUAACAUCUAAAAUAUUUAGUGAGUAUUUAAUGAAUUAAACAGAGAAAUGAUCGCAAAAAGAUGUUCUUUGAAUCGAGAAAACACAAAAGUUAAGUAUUAAAGUGAUUUCAUUUUUAGUAGUGUCGAUGAUUAAAAUAAAUCGAAAAAGAAAUUCUAAAAAAUCAAUCAACAAAAUCAAGAGAAUUCUUUCCAUUUGUAAUAAGGAAACUAAUUAUUACAUGUAUUAACUAAUAUUGUUGCGCAAGUAAUGUUAAUAGAGG